rnacentral:rRNA from 1 species
AUUGAACGCUGGCGGCAUGCCUUACACAUGCAAGUCGAGCGGUAACACUUCGGGUGACGAGCGGCGGACGGCUGAGUAACACGUAGGAAUCUACCCCAGACUGAGGGAUAAGCACCGGAAACGGUGUCUAAUACCGCAUACGCUCUAAGGAGUAAAGCUUCGGCGGUUUGGGAAGAGCCUGCGCAUGAUUAGCUUGUUGGUAAGGUAAUGGCUUACCAAGGCGACGAUCAUUAGCUGGUCUGAGAGGAUGAUCAGCCAGACUGGGACUGAGACACGGCCCAGACUCCUACGGGAGGCAGCAGUAGGGAAUUUUCCACAAUGGGCGAAAGCCUGAUGGAGCAACGCCGCGUGCAGGAUGAAGGCCUUCGGGUUGUAAACUGCUUUUAUAUGUGAAGAUUAUGACGGUAGCAUAUGAAUAAGGAUCGGCUAACUCCGUGCCAGCCGCCGCCGUAA